rnacentral:rRNA from 1 species
GAUGAACGCUGACAGAAUGCUUAACACAUGCAAGUCGACUCGAGUCUUCGGACUUGGGUGGCGCACGGGUGAGUAACGCGUAAAGAACUUGCCUCUUAGACCGGGACAACAUCUGGAAACGGAUGCUAAUACCGGAUAUUAUGGUUUUUUCGCAUGGAGGAAUCAUGAAAGCUAGAUGCGCUAAGAGAGAGCUUUGCGUCCCAUUAGCUAGUUGGUGAGGUAACGGCCCACCAAGGCAAUGAUGGGUAGCCGGCCUGAGAGGGUGAACGGCCACAAGGGGACUGAGACACGGCCCUUACUCCUACGGGAGGCAGCAGUGGGGAAUAUUGGACAAUGGACCACAAGUCUGAUCCAGCAAUUCUGUGUGCACGAUGACGUUUUUCGGAAUGUAAAGUGCUUUCAGUCGGGAAGAAGUCAGUGACGGUACCGACAGAAGAAGCGACGGCUAAAUACGUGCCAGCAGCCGCGGUAAUACGUAUAUCGCAAGCGUUAUCCGGAUUUAUUGGGCGUAAAGCGCGUCUAGGCGGCAAGGAAAGUCUGAUGUGAAAAUGCGGAGCUCAACUCCGUAUGGCGUUGGAAACUGCCUUACUAGAGUACUGGAGAGGUAGGCGGAACUACAAGUGUAGAGGUGAAAUUCGUAGAUAUUUGUAGGAAUGCCGAUGGGGAAGCCAGCCUACUGGACAGAUACUGACGCUGUAGCGCGAAAGCGUGGGUAGCAAACAGG